CUUGCUGUGGGCAAAUAAAAUGGAUAUGUGCAUCAAUGGCACCCGCCGUUAAAAUUUGACCUUCGCCCGCAAUCACUUCAGUACCUGGGCCAACUUCAAUCGUAACGCCUGCCUGAGUAUCGGGAUUACCCGCUUUGCCAAUGGCUUGAAUGUAGCCACCGUUUAACGCAACGUCGGCUUUAAUAAUACCGCUAGCAUCUAAAAUCAAUGCGUUAGUAAUAACGGUAUCGGGUACUUUAUCGGAGGUUGCUUGACUCUGCCCCAUGCCAUCAC
rnacentral:sRNA from 1 species